ACUUAAAUUGAAGAGUUUGAUCAUGGCUCAGAUUGAACGCUGGCGGCAGGCCUAACACAUGCAAGUCGAGCGGUAGCACAGAGAGCUUGCUCUCGGGUGACGAGCGGCGGACGGGUGAGUAAUGUCUGGGAAACUGCCUGAUGGAGGGGGGUAACUACUGGAAACGGUAGCUAAUACCGCAUAA
rnacentral:rRNA from 1 species